UGAACGCUGGCGGCGUGCCUAACACAUGCAAGUCGAACGAAGCAUAUUCUGCAGAGAUUCGUCGAAGCGGGAUAUGACUAGUGGCGGACGGGUGAGUAAUGUAUGAGCAACCCUGCCUUUCAGAGGGGGACAACAGUUGGAAACGACUGCUAAUACCGCGUAAUGUACAGAGGAGGCAUCUUCUUUGUACCAAAGGAGCAAUCCGCUGAAAGAUGGGCUCAUAUCUGAUUAGCUUGUUGGCGGGGUAACGGCCCACCAAGGCGACGAUCAGUAGCCGGACUGAGAGGUUGAACGGCCACAUUGGGACUGAGAUACGGCCCAGACUCCUACGGGAGGCAGCAGUGGGGAAUAUUGGGCAAUGGGCGAAAGCCCUGACCCAGCAACGCCGCGUGAAGGAAGAAGGUCUUCGGAUUGUAAACUUCUUUUAUGAGGGACGAAGGACGUGACGGUACCUCAUGAAUAAGCCACGGCUAACUACGUGCCAGCCGCUGC
rnacentral:rRNA from 1 species